rnacentral:rRNA from 1 species
AUUGAACGCUGGCGGCAGGCUUAACACAUGCAAGUCGAACGAGCGGCGGACGGGUGAGUAAUGUCUGGGAAACUGCCUGAUGGAGGGGGAUAACUAAUGGAAACGGUAGCUAAUACCGCAUACCAUCAGAUGUGCCCAGAUGGGAUUAGCUAGUAGGUGGGGUAAUGGCUCACGUAGGCGACGAUCCAUAGCUGGUCUGAGAGGAUGACCAGCCACACUGGAACGGAGACAAGGCCCAGCCUCCUACGGGAGGCAGCAGUGGGGAACAUUGCACAAGGGGCGCAAGCCUGAGGCAGCCAUGCCUCGUGUGUGAAGAAGGCCUUCGGGUUGUAAAGCACUUUCAUCGAGGAGGCGUUACUCGCAGAAGAAGCACCGGCUAACUCCGUGCCAGCAGCCGCGGUAAUUC